GUAGCGUGCGUGCCCUUGUGAGUUUGGAGGGUGCCGGUCAGCGGAGCCGUGCGAUGUAUUUGAAAAGCAAUCAGUCCGACCUUCCCCCAUAGAUUCAUCCUAAAUUGCAGAGGGUCCCAGUUUCAUUCAUUCUCCCUCACAGGGAAGGCAUUCUCUUCCUCUUCCUCCAGCUGCCCGAAAAUCAUAAGCGUGGUUUUUCCUGUUUCCUGCUCUGUAGCUGACAUCAGGGGAGCAAUGUGAACACAGGAAAAUGGAAAUCAACAUUUGAAACUUUUAAAUGGAAGCUUUAUUGGGUUUCCACAUAUGGAAAACUGCAAAUAGCAGAAGUAUGUGACUCAAUAAAUUAUUCUGGAGUGACCACAUCCUCUAACUGCCUCCCAGGACAAGAAGGAGAAUGUGAACAAUGCUCCUGAAGGCCCCUUUCCCUCAAAGAAUCACUGCAAUUGAAGGAAAAAUGCUCCAUGUCCCCUCUGCCAGUUGGUGUUUAUCAAAGGACAACGGAGGAAGAGAGACAAAGUGCCUGGAUGUGUGUGUUAAUCAAGAGUUGUCAGGACCCUGCCUCUAAAAGAAAGCGCUAAAAUGAUGCUUUUGACAAGACUUUUCUCAAAGUGGAUGCAGUCUAAGGGUUGGAAAACAAGGCCCAAUCAGGCUAGGUCUGACUUGUCGCCUGCUUUUGUAAAUAAAGUUUUAUUGGCUCACAG
rnacentral:lncRNA from 1 species